GUUAUGUACAAUGUUCCAUUAAAAUGUAGACGAGAGGGAAUUCCCUGGCAGUCCCGUGGUUACAGCUCCACGCUUUCACUACCAAGGGCUCAGGUUCAAUCCCUGGUCGGGGAACUGAGAUCCCGCAAGCUGUGCAGUGUGGCC